rnacentral:tRNA from 11 species
GCGGCAUUAGCUCAGUUGGUAGAGCGUUGGAUUGUGGCUCCAAAGGUCACCGGUUCGAAACCGGUAUGUCGCCCCA